ensembl:lncRNA
AUGUGGGGGGACAGGGAGGGAUGGAGGUGGUGGUGCUGGUGGGCAGUGCCCGCAGCAAUGUGUGCACACACUGGGACCCCCUGCCCACCCACGGGAUCCCCAGCCAUGUGCACACAGCAGCAGAUGGACACUGGGACCCCGCCAGGGACUGGACUGGCACCAGAACCACACACAAACCCUUCCCUGUUCAUGCACUGGGACCCCCAGCCAUGGCGGGUCACUGGCACCAGGACCCCCUACUCGCCCCUGCUCAUGCACUGGGAAUCCUCUGGUCACUUCUGCAGGGUCUGGAUGGACGCUGGGCCCCCCUGCCCACCUGCUGGGACCCCCAGCAUGGGACCCGCUCCAUGCUGGGCCCUCCCUGUUCGGCGGCAAACGGGACCCCCUGCUCACGGAGCCCCCACUGCGUCCCCGUGCCCACGCACCGGGACCCCGGGCCGUGCGCUCACAGCACAGACGCGGCACGGACCGCACCGGGGACCGGGGCUGGCGGCGCUGCCGCUCGGUGCCUGCAGGUGGCGGCGGAACCGCGCUCCGCCCCGCGGGCCCCGGGCCUGCGCCGUGCGGCCGGGCCGGGCCAUGGUGAGCGGCACCGGGAGCGGGACGGGAACGGAAGCGGCCCCCGGGGGGGCGGGAGGGGCGUCCCGGCACCGCGCGUGGGCACGGCGGGGUGGUGGAUGGGGGUCCCGGUGCCCGUCUGUGAACCGGGGGUGGUGGAUGGGGAUCCCGGCGCCGGUCCGCGGACACGUGGCCGGGGGGUCCCGGUGCUUUUGCAGCGGGGUGGGGGCGUCCCGGGGCCGGGGCUCCCGGUGCCCGUCUGGGUUGUGUGAGCAGGGCCGGGGGUCCCGGUGCCCGUCUGGGUUGUGUGAGCACGGCCGGGGGUCCCGGUGCCGCUCCGGGCAUACACAGAGAGGGGUCCCGACGCGCACACGGACGGGAUGGGGGUCCCGGUGCCCUUCGGUAUCGCGGGCACGUGUCCGGGGGUCCCGGUGUCAGUCCGGUUCGUGCACGGGUGGCCUGGGGGCGCGGUGGUGGGCAGGGGGAUGA